UGGGGAAUUUUGGACAAUGGGGGAAACCCUGAUCCAGCCAUCCCGCGUGUGCGAUGAAGGCCUUCGGGUUGUAAAGCACUUUUGGCAGGAAAGAAACGUCAUGGGUUAAUACCCCGUGAAACUGACGGUACCAGCAGAAUAAGCACCGGCUAACUACGUGCCAGCAGCCGCGGUAAUACGUAGGGUGCAAGCGUUAAUCGGAAUUACUGGGCGUAAAGCGUGCGCAGGCGGUUCGGAAAGAAAGAUGUGAAAUCCCAGAGCUCAACUUUGGAACCGCAUUUUUAACUACCGGGCUAGAGUGUGUCAGAGGGAGGUGGAAUUCCGCGUGUAGCAGUGAAAUGCGUAGAUAUGCGGAGGAACACCGAUGGCGAAGGCAGCCUCCUGGGAUAACACUGACGCUCAUGCACGAAAGCGUGGGGAGCAAACAGG
rnacentral:rRNA from 1 species